ACAGUAGUAGGUUUGACACACAGCCCUGGAGAUAAAAGGGGCGUGGCUAACUGAUGCAACGGUAACAGAAGGUUCUAGAAAUUUGAGCUAGUUUUUAUGCUGAGGUAUGAGUGUAACAGAAAACAGGCACAGAAUGAACUGCAGAGAGAUUUCGCACUCGGGAGAAGGUAUUCCACAGUCUUGGUAAUGGUGUGCAGCACAGAGCUGGCUUCUCUCUCCGAGAAGAACUUCUGUUUAAGGAUCCGAUCGAGCAGCUCACCGCCUCUCAUCAGCUCAGUCACCAGUCGCCCAGUUUUAGCUCCUCUGCUGCUGCGGGCCUCUAGCCUGACCGUGGUGGCCCUUACCCAACACUCGCCCCCUCCGAAACGCGUGUGGUAGCAGAGACUGUAACUGCAGCCGUGAUGAGAAUCGGUCAUUUGUGUCUGUGUAGGCACCCAUCCGACCAUCAGCAGGGAUUCGAACCUGAGAGCAGUGGGCUUAUUAGUGGCCUUGUGAACGCAGCGCUUGCACACAGAGAAAGAUCCCAUGCCGAUAUCCUCCUUCAGUACAUAUCCAUCAUUGAACGCAGAGUUCUUACCAUUAGUAGCUGGAUUGUGAGCUCAAGGUUUUAAACUUACAUUCCAGUCGAUGGUUGAGAAGAAAGCAUGACGUUUAAUCUCCUCUGCACCGUCUGGUCCAGAAGCUACAACACAGUCCAUAAAGAGAAUAAACACACAGAGAACAAUGUUUCAGAUCUCUGUAGAUGAUGCCAAGGCCGUGCAGGUGAUCCAGACCCAGAGCCAGCUCCGCCAGGGUUCGGAUGCGAGUACCUCCUUUGAGAGUCUGGUGAAGAGGUCACCUCCACGCAGAAAGUCCAGGAUCAAAUAGAGCUUCCCCUCCGUCUGAAAAGCUGCUCACACACACACACACACACACAGAGGUAAAAAGAAAGCUUUUACUCACCGUAGUGCAGUUUGACCACAAACGGGUGAUUCACAUCCGCGAGGAUGUCCCUCUCCAUCUUGGUCCGAACUCGAUCACGUACUGCCAGGGGAGGAAAGAUCAGCGGUCAGCGGUGGACGUAAUUAUUGAAGCACACGAGUCUCAGCUUUGAAUUUGCCAGUCUACUGAAAUGUUCCCUCACAUGCUUGAUUUGAGUUGACACUAAAGUACAGUUUGAAGUAUUGGGUUUAUUGUAUUGGGGUUAUUUCUGUUCUUCCCAAUCUAGUCCACUCCGAUUCUCAUCACACACCCCUGUUCCAUCAGUCUUGUAUAUUCACCUGCCCACAGUGGAGUCUCAGAGACAUGCAAAGCUCUCCAGAUCUUUCCUCGGCUGCUCUCGUUAUCCGCAUUGAUUUGGCACAGCUUUUACGCCGGAUGCCCUUCCUGACACGACCCUCCCUAUUUAUCCGGGCUUGGGACCGGCACUACAAUGCACUGGUUUCUGCAUCCUAGCAGCCAGGUACCUAUAGGACGAUUCAGUGUCUCCAACUAGCCUGGCUGCAUGUUUUUGGACUGUGGGAGCAAACCGGAGCUCCCGGAGGAAACCCACACAGACACGGGGAGAACAUGCAAACUCCACACAAAGGAAUCAAACCCAAGACCUUCUUGCUGUGAGGCGACGGUGCCACUGUGCUAAUAACAAUAACGUUUUGGAAUGCAUUUGAGCAUGAAGUGAGGCUACUCUUCCUCAGACAACCUGAGCAGACCUGCAGGACCCGUGUGAUUCAAACCACCGAAUGUAAAAAUCACAGUCCGGGCAUCCCUGCAUCUCCUCUACGUGCCCGCGGUAAUGCCAUCCGAGCAGGAGCCCGGCCUGAAGGCGUGUGAGGGUGAGACGUGUACGUGCCCAGAGUGAGCGAGAGGUGGCGGGCGGAAGUGGGACAGGAAGGAAGAGAACCACAGAGAGAUUGAAAGGUGGUAAAGAGGAAGAAAGAAUAAAGCACAGGAGAGAGA